GUGCCUAAAACUAAUGAAAAUGAAAAAAAAAUUCCUUAGUCUUUUUGAAGUUUUCAAACGGCCUGACAUGAUAAAGUAUAAAAAAGUGAUCUGGUAGAUAACAGUUUUCUUACACAGACACAGACACAAUGUAUACCUUGAUAGCAUGCGUCUUAAUUCUGGCUACAGCUCAAGCUGGGCCAGCAUCUGGCGGAGAGGAAUUAGUUAGAAAACUCAGGAGCCGAUACGAUAAGAUCGAUGCCCCAGGCUGUGGACAAAGGCCACUAGCACCAGGCAAUGGAGUGUCUGAGCUGACAACGAGGAUUGUUGGUGGCAAGGAGUCGAUGCCUUACACCUGGCCAGCGAU
rnacentral:sRNA from 1 species